rnacentral:rRNA from 1 species
GGUGGAGCGAUUUGUCUGGUUAAUUCCGAUAACGAACGAGACUCUGGCCUAUUAAAUAGACGGUAUAUCAUCUAAGUAUAUCGCACUUCUUAGAGGGACAAGCGGCGUCUAGCCGCAUGAAAUAGAGCAAUAACAGGUCUGUGAUGCCCUUAGAUGUCCGGGGCUGCACGCGCGCUACACUGAAAGAAUCAGAGUGCGCUAUACCUAGUUCGGAAGAACCGGGUAACCCAAGUAAAUUCUUUCGUGCUUGGGAUAGGGAAUUGCAAUUAUUUCCCUUAAACGAGGAAUUCCCAGUAAAUGCGGGUCAUAAGCUCGCGUUGAUUACGUCCCUGCCCUUUGUAC